rnacentral:lncRNA from 1 species
AGGUAUAAAUCUCAACUCACUUUGUUUUGAGUUGAUUAAUGGUUCACCACUCUACUAGGCUUUGAAUUUCUUGGUUAAUGUUUUGUUUUUAAGUGCAUGCUAGCAUGAUUCCGCCUUUAAUUGUUAAUUGCAUGCUAUAUGGUGAUGCUUAAAUGAACAUGUUUUCACAAAAUUAUCCUUCAGUUAAUCCCCGGUCUAGAACGAUCCCUACUUACAUCUUUGCUACAAUUGUCAUCAAUAGGGUUUAAUUUGUGUGUCCAGUUAAUUUUCACAUCAGGGUCCUAGCAAACAUGUCGUCGGGUCAAUUCAGUCAACUCAUGGUCUCCUAACAAAAAUUUUCAUCAGGUUAACUGAAUUUUCAUCAGGUUUAUGGAAUUACAUUUUCAUCAUUCAAGGUUCGGAUAAUGGGUUUUCCUCGACUAAUCUUUCCCGACGAAACUC